GGCCAGUCUGAGUGUAGGGGUGUCUAGAACUAAUGGAGCACAACUCACUAUAGGUUUCUUUGCUCUUCCUCCACUCCCACUGCUUCACUCGACUAGCCUUCA
rnacentral:Y_RNA from 2 species